UACGUAGGGUGCAAGCGUUAAUCGGAAUUACUGGGCGUAAAGCGUGCGCAGGCGGCUUUGCAAGACAGGUGUGAAAUCCCCGGGCUUAACCUGGGAACUGCAUUUGUGACUGCAUGGCUGGAGUGCGGCAGAGGGGGAUGGAAUUCCGCGUGUAGCAGUGAAAUGCGUAGAUAUGCGGAGGAACACCGGUGGCGAAGGCGGCAUCCUGGACCGGUAUUGACGCUGAGGCGCGAAAGCUAGGGGAGCAAACGGG
rnacentral:rRNA from 1 species